CCUGUAGCCCCAAAUCGGAUAAUCUCUGCAGCUGAUAACAAGCAAAAGAGAAGCCAGGCAACAGCCAUAUUAAAGAAGAAAACAAUCAACUCUGAGGAAACAGACAGGCAUGCAGAAGUAACUAGACGUCCAACACAUGCCAAAGUCUUGCGGGCCCAGGAUUUCAAACAAAAGAAAACUCGGGUAACGUGACUGUAAAUCAAGGGCGCUUGAGACCAUAGACAUGCGCACCUAGAAGGGUUAAUCGGCGGAGGGGGAGGAGAGAGGCU
rnacentral:lncRNA from 1 species